NUCUAAUGCAGGUGCUUUUUAUGUUAAUGGACUUAUUUCACUUAACUAUAAUAGAUCAUUAUUAUUUGGUGAUGCUGUAUUGUGUAGAAUCAAUUCGCAAUGCAGACAAAGGAAUACAUAUGUUCCUAGAUCUUUAUUUGACAUAUGUUUAAGAAACAUUUGUAAGCCUUACUUUAUUAAAUUAUGGACUUAUGUGGAUUGUCAUCAACACUUACCUAAGAUUGGUUAAUAUUGUAGAAUUUCUUGAGGAACUAUGUCUGUGGACCAGAUAAUCAUCAAACGGAUAUUAGGACGCAAGCUGAGGAACGACCUAUUAUUCAGGAAGGACCGGAUGACUCCAAUUCCGAUGUUCUCUGAAAAAGAUGUUAAUUAUCCAUUUAUGAUAGUUCACAAUUUGGUGAUAGAUUUGGAUCUAGUAAAGGAUUUGGAUUUGGACAUUUAUUUACGAUUGAAACAACUUUUCGUUCCAAGAGUGAAAGCUCCCUUCUGCUGUGAGUUUCGUGCUAUGCUUCAGCCUUUUCUGCACUCCUGUGUGGUCGGUGGCUGCAUGGAUGCCGUGGAUUGCAUCUUCCAAUCUGAAGAUUGGUUUGCAGGGCCGCGACAGCCCAUACGUUUCCCCGAGGACGGGCAACUUCCGAAUGGACGACCUAAGACAGGGGACCGUACUUGUCGCUUUGAUACAUCGGCACCAUCAGUACCAUCGGCGCCUCCGUAUCAAGGGGGUGGAAUGACAGGAGUAAACAUCAAGGAUGAACAAACAACAUGAAUCAGCAAAAGGACUUGUUUUGGACUUGUUUUGGACUUUGCAGUGACUAAGUAA
rnacentral:lncRNA from 1 species